rnacentral:rRNA from 1 species
AUUGAACGCUGGCGGCAUGCCUUACACAUGCAAGUCGAGCGGAUGCAGGGAGCUUGCUCCUGGAUUCAGCGGCGGACGGGUGUGUAAUGCCUAGGAAUCUGCCUGGUAGUGGGGGAUAACGUCCGGAGACGGGCGCUAAUACCGCAUACGUCCUGAGGGAGAAAGUGGGGGAUCUUCGGACCUCACGCUAUCAGAUGAGCCUAGGUCGGAUUAGCUAGUUGGUGGGGUAAAGGCCCACCAAGGCGACGAUCCGUAACUGGUCUGAGAGGAUGAUCAGUCACACUGGGACUGAGACACGGUCCAGACUCCUACGGGAGGCAGCAGUGGGGAAUAUUGGACAAUGGGCGCAAGCCUGAUCCAGCCAUGCCGCGUGUGUGAAGAAGGUCUUCGGAUUGUAAAGCACUUUAGGUUGGGAGGAAGGGCAGUAAGUUAAUACCUUGCUGUAUUGACGUUACCAACAGAAUAAGCACCGGCUAACUUCGUG